rnacentral:misc_RNA from 1 species
GAUGAAGAACGUAGUAAAAUGCGAUAAGUAAUGUGAAUUGCAGAAUUCAGUGAAUCAUCGAAUCUUUGAACGCACAUUGCGCCCGCUGGUAUUCCGGCGGGCAUGCCUGUUCGAGCGUCAUUUCAACCCUCAAACCCCCGGGUUUGGUGUUGGGGAUCGGCUCUGCCUCACGGCGGUGCCGCCCCCGAAAUACAUUGGCGGUCUCGCUGCAGCCUCCAUUGCGUAGUAGCUAACACCUCGCAACUGGAACGCGGCGCGGCCAUGCCGUAAAACCCCAACUUCUGAAUGUUGACCUCGGAUCAGGUAGGAAUACCCGCUGAACUUAAGCAUAUCAAUAAGCGGAGGA